rnacentral:miRNA from 1 species
AAUUAAUAUGGAUCGGAGGGA